GGCUCAUUGCAACCUCGACUCCUGGGUUCAAGCAAUCCUCCCACCUCAGCCUCCCCAGCCUUUGUGUGUUAGCUUCUUCAAAUUCUGGUUUUAGUAGAAUUGUGUUGGGUUUGUGAACAUGCUCACUGCCUCCUGCAUAGCCAAAUUGUUGAAGGUCUCAGGAAGAUCAUCUCAUUCCCCAUCACUGUGCAUUUGUGUCAACAGAUUUUGUAUUGGGUUGUGCAGUUCAAUCUCCAGGCAAGUAGGUGGUGUUUAUGGGUAAGAGCCAGCUGCAACAGACA
rnacentral:lncRNA from 1 species